CUGUGGCUGUGUCACUGUGUGUGACUAUGUACUGUAUGAGACUCUGUGGCUGUGUCACUGUGUGUGAUUAUGCACUGUAUGAGACUCUGUGGCUGUGUCUCUGUGUGUUACUAUGCACUGUAUGAGACUCUGUGGCUGUGUCACUGUGUGUUACUAUGCACUGUAUGAGACUCUGUGGCUGUGUCACUGUGUGUUACUGUGCACUGUAUGAGACUCUGUGGCUGUGUCUCUGUGUGUUACUGUGCACUGUAUGAGACUCUGUGGCUGUGUCACUGUGUGUUACUGUGCACUGUAUGAGACUCUGUGGCUGUGUCACUGUGUGUUACUGUGCACUGUAUGAGACUCUGUGGCUGUGUCACUGUGUGUGACUAUGCACUGUAUGAGACUCUGUGGCUGUGUCACUGUGUGUGACUAUGUACUGUAUGAGACUCUGUGGCUGUGUCACUGUGUGUGACUAUGCACUGUAUGAGACUCUGUGGCUGUGUCACUGUGUGUGACUAUGUACUGUAUGAGACUCUGUGGCUGUGUCACUGUGUGUGAUUAUGCACUGUAUGAGACUCUGUGGCUGUGUCUCUGUGUGUUACUAUGCACUGUAUGAGACUCUGUGGCUGUGUCACUGUGUGUUACUAUGCACUGUAUGAGACUCUGUGGCUGUGUCACUGUGUGUUACUGUGCACUGUAUGAGACUCUGUGGCUGUGUCACAGUGUGACUAUGCACUGUAUGAGACUCUGUGGCUGUGUCUCUGUGUGUUACUGUGCACUGUAUGAGACUCUGUGGCUGUGUCACUGUGUGUGACUGUGCACUGUAUGAGACUCUGUGGCUGUGUCACUGUGUGUGACUGUGCACUGUAUGAGACUCUGUGGCUGUGUCUCUGUGUGUUACUAUGCACUGUAUGAGACUCUGUGGCUGUGUCACCCUCUGUGUGUUACUAUGCACUGUAUGAGACUCUGUGGCUGUGUCUCUGUGUGUUACUAUGCACUGUAUGAGACUCUGUGGCUGUGUCACUGUGUGUUACUGUGCACUGUAUGAGACUCUGUGGUUGUGUCACUGUGUGUUACUAUGCACUGUAUGAGACUCUGUGGCUGUGUCACUGUGUGUGACUAUGCACUGUAUGAGACUCUGUGGCUGUGUCACUGUGUGUUACUGUGCACUGUAUGAGACUCUGUGGCUGUGUCACAGUGUGACUAUGCACUGUAUGAGACUCUGUGGCUGUGUCACUGUGUGUGACUGUGCACUGUAUGAGACUCUGUGGCUGUGUCUCUGUGUGUUACUAUGCACUGUAUGAGACUCUGUGGCUGUGUCUCUGUGUGUUACUAUGCACUGUAUGAGACUCUGUGGCUGUGUCACCCUCUGUGUGUUACUAUGCACUGUAUGAGACUCUGUGGCUGUGUCUCUGUGUGUUACUAUGCACUGUAUGAGACUCUGUGGCUGUGUCACUGUGUGUUACUGUGCACUGUAUGAGACUCUGUGGUUGUGUCACUGUGUGUUACUAUGCACUGUAUGAGACUCUGUGGCUGUGUCUCUGUGUGUUACUAUGCACUGUAUGAGACUCUGUGGCUGUGUCACUGUGUGUUACUAUGCACUGUAUGAGACUCUGUGGCUGUGUCACUGUGUGUUACUAUGCACUGUAUGAGACUCUGUAGCUGUGUCACUGUGUGUUACUAUGCAAUGUAUGAGACUCUGUGGCUGUGUCACUGUGUGUUACUGUGCACUGUAUGAGACUCUGUGGCUGUGUCUCUGUGUGUUACUAUGCACUGUAUGAGACUCUGGCUGUGUCACUGUGUGUUACUGUGCACUGUAUGAGACUCUGUGGCUAUGUCACAGUGUGACUAUGCACUGUAUGAGACUCUGUGGCUGUGUCACUGUAUGCGACUGUGUGAGGGUGCCUGAUGUAUCAGUGUUGCUGUGUGUGAUUGUGUCACUGUGUUGCUGUGUGUGCUUGUGUCACUGUGUUGCUGUGUGAUUGUGACAUGUUAACAGUAAUUGGAUAUGGGAGUUCAUCACGUUGAACCUUUUUCAUGUCUCUCUGUAGCGGAGCAGUAGUAUUAUCCACAGUAUCUCAGCUGGUAGACAGGAACAAACAGGCACAAAGCAGGUAAAAUCCAGGUAGCGUAGUUACAAUCCCUUCCUCCCAAGAACUAGACGACACAUAGCUUGGAGGUCAACUGAGGUUUUAAUCACAGGUCACAGUAUUUAUGGGAUUCCCCAUGCAAGGGGUUUCCCUACUGACAUUUCAGGGGUUGUACAGUAGGGGACUACAUGGGGAACUGCCCAACACACACAAUUUUCAUCAUACACUGCUGGACGAGAGGGAUACUCCCACUGGAAUGUACCGUUAAUGGGAUUAUCCCUCCGUGCAGCAGAACUCACCUUUUACAUUAAAAUACAUAACUUUUACAUUAUUCAUUAGUUUUACACGAAUGGACGUUCGGUAGAUAGCUGGAGGCUGAGCGCAUCGUUCGUAAGUUUACCGCUCAGCUCCCAGUCUAACUAACCGAACGCCGUACGAAAUACACAUAAUUUCAACAUAGGUUUAAAAAUACCGAUUAUCGUAAGGGGAAUGAAACUACCGAACGGCCGAGAUUCCCGAACGGCCUGGAAGUCCAGCGGUGUUCGUGCCGUUGAGUAGCCGCUUUUAGUUCCAGGCGACAAAACACCGCUGGGCUAACAAAAGAAACAAAAGAAACAAGAUGGCCGACCGCCGCGUGGUCGGUAUUCGAACGACGGCACCUAGAAACACUCUUAAUUACCGAUUGCAACAUUGUUGCAAUCGGUUAAUUGGUGCCACACGACCCCCUGUGUGUGGUCGUGCGUUCGGUAGGUGAUUCAUUUCACGAACAGGGUUUUAACUCCCCGUUCGUGAAACUUCAUUAGAAAUGCUGGGGUUUUCCUACCGCCAGCAUACGAAUGCCCUCAUUCGCCUAAAAUAAAAAUAGCAUUGGUUUCUUACAAUUUAGCAGCCAUACAUGCAUCUUCAUACAUAGUCUUUGGUGGCUAGUUUUGCCACACUCUCCGACAUUAAUGGAGUAAAAUUAUAGAAUUGACAUUAAAUAGACUAUGAAGCCAAAGAACAAAUUUCCAUUUUCUGCAGAAAUCUCACAAUGAAAGAUUAUUUGUUCAGAAUAUCAUUUCAAUUGUAAACCCUCUGACUGUGAGCCUCGGAGAUACCGUGUGUCAUUCCAUGUACGUGUAAACCCUCUGACUCUGAGCCUCGGAGAUACCGUGCGUCAUUCCAUGUACGUGUAAACCCUCUGACUCUGAGC